AUGACCUGUCUGCACCUUGUCACCAGAGUCUCAGAUUUAUUACUGAAAUACUACAAGAGGAAAUACACAUUAUGAUAUAAACAGGUAAUCCACUGACAAGAAGUUGCACUAGGACUAUGCCAAAAAUCCUGUGAAAAACCCUGUCCAACCAUUUCAUAAUGGUAGAUCAAAUUAAACAAUGUUCAGAUUUUGUCUGAACAUGAUUUGAAUGUACAUGUACGCAUGUUUAUUAUUACUUUACGAAUAAUUGACUAUUUUUAUAUUUAUGAUUUUUCUAAAUUAUGACACAAUGGCUAUA